UACUCUUGACAUCCUGCGAACUUUCGAGAGAUCGAUUGGUGCCUUCGGGAACGCAGAGACAGGUGCUGCAUGGCUGUCGUCAGCUCGUGUUGUGAAAUGUUGGGUUAAGUCCCGUAACGAGCGCAACCCUUGUCCUUAGUUGCCAUCAUUUAGUUGGGGACUCUAAGGAGACUGCCGGUGACAAACCGGAGGAAGGCGGGGACGACGUCAAGUCAUCAUGGCCCUUACGAGUAGGGCUACACACGUGCUACAAUGGCCGGUACAGAGGGUCGCGAAGCCGCGAGGUGGAGCUAAUCUCAUAAAGCCGAUCGUAGUCCGGAUUGGAGUCUGCAACUCGACUCCAUGAAGUCGGAAUCGCUAGUAAUCGUGAAUCAGAAUGUCACGGUGAAUACGUUCCCGGGCCU
rnacentral:rRNA from 1 species